ACGGGGGGUGCAAGCGUUGUUCGGAAUUAUUGGGCGUAAAGAGCGUGUAGGCGGCUGAAUAAGUCAGAUGUGAAAUCCCUGGGCUUAACUCAGGAAGUGCAUUUGAAACUAUUCAGCUCGAGUAGGGGAGAGGAAAGUGGAAUUCCUGGUGUAGAGGUGAAAUUCGUAGAUAUCAGGAGGAACGCCGGUGGCGAAGGCGACUUUCUGGCCCUAUUCUGACGCUGAGACGCGAGAUAGUGGGUACCAAACAG
rnacentral:rRNA from 1 species